rnacentral:rRNA from 1 species
AUUGGAAGUAAAAAAUCGUAACAAGGUCUCCGUUGGUGAACCAGCGGAGGGAUCAUUGCUGGAACGCGCUUCGGCGCACCCAGAAACCCUUUGUGAACUUAUACCUACUGUUGCCUCGGCGUCAGGCCGGCCUCUUCACUGAGGCCCCCCGGAGACGGGGAGCAGCCCGCCGGCGGCCAACUAAACUCUUGUUUCUAUAGUGAAUCUCUGAGUAAAAAACAUAAAUGAAUCAAAACUUUCAACAACGGAUCUCUUGGUUCUGGCAUCGAUGAAGAACGCAGCGAAAUGCGAUAAGUAAUGUGAAUUGCAGAAUUCAGUGAAUCAUCGAAUCUUUGAACGCACAUUGCGCCCCCUGGUAUUCCGGGGGGCAUGCCUGUUCGAGCGUCAUUUCAACCCUCAAGCCUGGCUUGGUGAUGGGGCACUGCUUCGAGAGGAGCAGGCCCUGAAAUUCAGUGGCGAGCUCGCCAGGACCCCGAGCGUAGUAGUUAUAUCUCGCUCUGGAAGGCCCUGGCGGUGCCCUGCCGUUAAACCCCCAACUUCUGAAAAUUUGACCUCGGAUCAGGUAGGAAUACCCGCUGAACUUAAGCAUAUCAAUAGGGGGGGAGGAAUCC